rnacentral:rRNA from 1 species
UUCGCAAUGCCCGAAAGGGUGACGAAGCGACGCCGCGUGAGUGAGGAAGGCCUUCGGGUUGUAAAGCUCUGUCAGGAGUUAAGAAAUAUAAGUGUGCUAAUACCACAUUUAUUUGACGAAGGCUCCAAAGGAAGCCACGGCUAACUCUGUGCCAGCAGCCGCGGUAAUACAGAGGUGGCAAGCGUUGUUCGGAAUUAUUGGGCGUAAAGAGCACGUAGGUGGGUUUGUAAGUCAGAUGUGAAAGCCUUCUGUUCAACGGAAGAAUUGCAUCUGAAACUGCGAGUCUUGAGUGUAGGAGGGGAGAAUGGAACUUCUGGUGGAGCGGUGAAAUGCGUAGAUAUCAGAAGGAACGCCGGCGGCGAAAGCGAUUCUCUGGCCUAUUACUGACACUCAGUGUGCGAAAGCUAGGGGAGCAAACGGGAUUAGAUACCCCGGUAGUCCUAGCUGUAAACGAUGGGCACUAAGUAGAGGGGCAUU